GGGGGAGUGGCUGGGAUUGGGGGUUGUCUUUAGGAGGGAUACCUACAUGUCUAGUUCCAGUUCGCACUGGGAGGAGGUCACAGAUCUGCCUGGCUUGCCCUGUCCUUUGUGCUCAUUCUCCCUCCAGUCCUGGCCUAGCACUCAGGCAGGGAUUCCCCUGGGAAGGAAAGCCCUUUUGUUCUUGGGAGCCCAGGCUGUUCACCUUGGGGCAUGUGACUUCGCUUGAAAACAGUCACUACCUUUCACCCCCCCAUCACUGUUCAGAGCAAAACUUGAUUAAAGUGGUGUCUGAGAACCAUAUUGAUCUAAUCCUAUCUUCCAGGUGGUGUUGGGGUCUCCUUAGAGUUAUGCAAGUGCAGGUGACUCCAGGUAGGAAAACGCUGGCCUUUAACUGAGUAAGGACUUCGGGGCCAUAGAAACUUUGUUUUACUAACAUGGUUGUACUGGGUCCCAGAGGCACCCGUUCCCAAGAGCCUUUUUAUCAUGAUAACAAGAGGCUUAUAGGACCUUUCAAAGUCUAAAUUAGAGGAGCCCAGGAAGCUGAACAAUUGUUGUCAAUUUACCAAUUUCAUGCACGUACGUAUACACACAUAUAGUUUUCCCGGUGAAAGUAGUAUUUGUACAUUAAAGAACAUUUGGUAGGGAUUUAAAAAAAAUGGUUACCCAAGAGAUCCCUCCAUUGCAUAGUGCGUUAAUAAUCCGGCUCAUCUCAUGGUGUUGCUAGGUCAAUGCCUGAUGCAGUGGUUUAAGGAUCUGGUGUUGCAGCUGUAGCCUAGGUUGUAGAUGUGGCUCGGAUUUGAUCCUGUGGCCCAGGAACUUUAUAUGCUGUGGNUCACGACAUGUGGAAGUUCCCGGGCUAGGGACUGAAUCCACGCCACAGCAGUGACAAUGCCAGAUCCUUAACCCACUGAGCCACCAGGGGACUCGGCAUGGCUUGUUUUUUAAGUUUCCCUGUUGUUAGACAUUUGGAUUGUUUCUGGUUCACUAGAAGAAAUACCACAAAGAGUAUCUUAUAUAAGGAUUCUCCUGCAGUUUGGACUAAAUGGUAGGAACAGUAAAUGGCAUUUUGGAUGAAAUGAGAUGAACAGUUUUAAGGGUCUCGGUGCCUAACACUAAAUGUCUUUCCAAGGGGCUAUAAGAGCUUAUACUAAAUGCUGCCACUUAAGAGUUGUUGGGGAGUUUGGAAGGGGUGAGAGCAGAGAGUGGACCUAUUGCCUGAUGAAGGCAGCUGACCUUUAACCUGAAUGAGCAAAGGCAGGCAAUGAACAUUUGAUGAAGAACAAACUGCUUUAAAAUGGGGGAGGGUGUGUACCCUGCUUCUGACCUCAGGAUCUGGGGUGGGUGAAGAUGGGAUUCCUGAACAGGUAGAGAUGCUGGCUGUGCAGUGGGAGGAGCUAGGGGACAGGGAAGGAGGUAGCCAGAGAUGCAGGGUCAAGUUGAGUUGGUAGCUUCCCCUCAGUUGCGGAGGCCUAGUGGGAAUGUAGAGAUGAGUUGCUGUUGCCUCUCAGGGAAUAAAUCUGAUGGGGAGUGUGGAGCAGCAGUGUCUGCUACCGAAGUAGUGAUGAGGUUUCUGAUUUUGAAAGGAUAUAUUGAGCUCAGCUUGGUCACUUGGUUUUUGAGCUCAGGCUGACGCAGGCCUUAUCGGCAGCCCAGUGCUGCCCCCCUGUGGCAGUCCUGAGUAUGGUCAAGCCUGGGAUCCCUUCGCAGGGCCAAACUGCUAGUAGCAAACUCCCAUGCCUGGAGGGGUUCAGUAAGGUGGCUUAAAAGAGCAGGCCAGGCCAGGAGCUAGGAAGCACAGGCCUGCCUAAAGGGGGCAGUGGCUAUGCAGCUUCUUCCAGUUUGUGCUCCUUGCCUAGAAACACCAGUUUUUCUUUUUUUCCCUCUUGAAGAUACUAGACAUUCAGAUUUUUUCGGAUUCGUUAACCACUGCGCCACGACAGGAACUCCCCAGCCCUAUCUUGAACAGAGAGCUCCUCCCACCACUCCCCUAUUUUUCUUUUUUUCUUUUUCCUGCAACAUAGGGAAGUUUCUGGGGCAGGGGUUGAAUGACAACUGUAGCUGCAGACUUGUGCCAUAGCUUCGGCAACACCCAAUCCAAGCCACAUCUGUGAUGUACAGCAGCUUAUGGCAAUGCUGGAGCCUCAACCCACUGAACAGGCCAGGGAUUGAACCUGCAUCCUCACAGAGAUAAUGUUGAGUCCUUAACCCACUGAGCCUCAGGAGCCCCCAGAGAGCCCUUUGGAUGGUUCCUGGCACAAGGACACGAUUAAGUGUUUGAACCUCAGAAAGGUUGAUUGCCCCACCACAUGGAAGAGGCAAGACUGCUCUGUCCAGUAUGGUAGCUGCUGGCCACAUACAGAUAUUAAAAAUGAAAUGAACUAAAAUAAAAAAUUCAUUUCCCGGGAGUUCCCGUCGUGGCGCAGUGGUUAACGAAUCCGACUAGGAACCAUGAGGUUGCGGGUUCGGUCCCUGCCCUUGCUCAGUGGGUUAACGAUCCGGCGUUGCCGUGAGCUGUGGUGUAGGUUGCAGACGCGGCUCGGAUCCCGCGUUGCUGUGGCUCUGGCGUAGGCCGGUGGCUACAGCCCCGAUUCAACCCCCAGCCUGGGAACCUCCAUAUGCCGCGGGAGCGGCCCAAGAAAUAGCAACAACAACAA
rnacentral:lncRNA from 1 species